CUGUGGGCGUGGCAAAACCCUGGCAUAUUUGCUGCCUAUGCUUUGGGUUGCUGACCACCCAGCUUCCUUUUACUCGACCAAAUAAAAGCCGAUUCUUCCUAAGAGCCUCCUCCUGAAUUCUUGGCAUUAGAAGAGGCACGGAAAACUGGUGAGUAAGAAUCAGCCUAGCAGCUUCAUCCUACACUGCAUGAUCAGGUAAUUCAUCCUACCAAGGCUCAAGAAUCCCUACAGAGAUGAUCAACAGGAUCUCAACUCAGCCACUCUCUGCACUGUGAGGCAAAGCCAAUCUUUUGGAGAUCUCUUGGGAUAUUGGCACUGGGUUUUCACAGAGGCUGAAUACAGUUAUUAUGGAACACACGUACCGGGAAGAUAUGAUAUUGCCAUGGCUGCUGCU